UGUGGUGGCGAUAGCACAAAGGCUACACCUGUUCCCAUUCCGAACACAGAAGUUAAGCUUUGUAACGCCGAUAGUAGUUAGGGGA
rnacentral:rRNA from 1 species